UGAAAACAGAUAUACUGUAUUUGUUGCCCAAAAUAUUGAAUAAACCAUUUUAAUUUCGGUGAUCUGAAAUAAUAUCGUUAAUACAAGAGAAGGUAUGCCAUUGUAUCAUUCAGGUUUGUUUAUAAUGAAGACACAGAAGACUUCGUCAACACCGACUCCAAUGAAGUGAAAUUUCGAUUACGACAGUGGGCAGAUGAGGAAGUGGAGGGGGCAGGGGGACGGUCCCCCUUAUUGAAUUGCAUAUUUGUUAAGUGCAUAGACUUUUUAAAAGUAACAGUCCAAAUGUUGGCUAACUAGCCCUUCCCCCUUUUUUAAGUGGUUUAUCAUUUUCAGACAAAAUGGGUGACGGAUCUAUGAAAUGUCGUAACAUAUGGGCAUUCGCAGCUCAAUCCAAUCUGUAGAAAUCGAGAAAUCGUUAUUAUGUGUCUUUGUAUGUUCAUGUAUAUUUCCUCUUUUAGUAUCAUAGAAAGGAAGAUGCAAAUGUGGUUCAAUGGAAUCUUUUGUGUAAUCAUAACAGCUAUGUUUGUUUACCAAUCACAGUUUCUAUGAUAUAGACAGAUGUGGCAUAUACGAUUUGGUAUACAUUGGCCUUAUGUAUUAAAGCAGAGUUCAAGAUUAAGAUAAAGCAAAAGUUAAAGGAUAUGAAAUUUUACAGAGGUACGGCCAAUUUCCCCUGUAUUUGUUGUACUACAUGUAACGUGUCCAAAUCCUAAUUAUUCAUUGGAUAAGGCACAUAUGAUUUAUAUAACAAUGCACAAUACAAGUGUACAACAUAUACAACAUAAGUGAAAAUUAAGUAUAGGCUUUAACCACAAGUCUAUUUUAUUGGAAGGCAAAAUAUACUUAGUCCAUAACCUCAAGCUGUGUACUUAAUGCUAGCCUAACGAAUGGAUACCAAGAAUAUUUUUUCAAAUUCAAACAACUCUGAACCUUUCCAAAUGCAGUGUCUAUGUAUGGAAGUAAUAUAUAAAUAUAAUACUUCCAUGGUCUAGGUAUCUAUUCAAAUCUGAGAUCCAAAUUUCCAAAAGUUUCUAAAAUAUAAAGGUCUGUAUAUAAAGGUCAUAACUUAAGUUUAUCAAUUAUUAUCAAAUAAGGAGUUUAAAACUCUCCUGCGAUUUAAAUUGCUUAUGGGUGUCCAACAGAUCAAUUUUUAAUAAAUACUAAAAAUUUGCAAAUAUCUGUAAAAAUUGAAGUCUUGUGCCAUGUUAAGAAAUUUCAAUAAUAAGAUAAUCACGUGUGCGAAAAUAUGUAAAAAAAUUACAUGUUUAAAUCUAAAAGUAUUCAUUUGACACUACAUGUAUGACUUUUCAAAUAACGGAGAACUUUUUAUAAUGGUCUUAGUAGAAAGAAAUUUAGAGGAAAUUAGCUCCACCGCUUUCCAUGUUAAAAUUAAUUUUUAUUUUUGCCCUAUUAAAGUUAAACAUGAUGAAUUUCACUCCUUCUUUCAUUGCGAAACAAAUAAACAUGUAAGAAAUGAUUACUUCUCUGAAAUUGCUUCUCAAAAUACUGACUUUAUGAGUUGCACUAACAAACAAAAACUACAAUACAUACUCAAUCAAUAAAAUUUUCAACAGGUACAAAGUUUAGGCUCGUUUUUAAAACAGUCAAUGGAACUGAGGACAGGGGACUCUUGAUUUACCGAUGGUUAAAAUUUUUGUGGUAUAUUAAUAUGUUGUAAUUUGUAUUUUGAUUUUUCACUAUAUUAUAUACUUGCAACAAUUGAUAUAUACAUAUAUAUUAUAUGUAUGAGUGUAUGUUAGUUUUUUUUUCAGUUUGUCACAAACAUGUUUAAUUUGUUUAUAUGACAAUAAAGAUUAUUAUUAUUUAUUUUAUCAA